rnacentral:lncRNA from 1 species
CGGCGGGCCGCGGCGGGGGGCCGCCCGAGUCCGUGCUGGACUGGCGCGAGUGCGAGCCCGAGUCGGGCUCCUUGAAGAAGGACUCGGGCAGGAUUUUCUUCCGCCAGGAGCUAGGCCGGGGGUUCAUGACCGCGUUGAAGAGCGCCUCGAGCUCCGUGUCCAGCUUGGACAGUCUCCAAGCUGUUCUGAUUUCAGAAGAAUCCCCCUCCUCAGUAAUCAGAGAGAAAGCUUUCAGAUGACACGUCUAUUCAAGGCACGGCUCUGA